CCUACGAGUGGCAGCAGUGGGGAAUAUUGCACAAUGGGGGAAACCCUGAUGCAGCGACGCCGCGUGAGUGAAGAAGUAAUUCGUUACGUAAAGCUCUAUCAGCAGGGAAGAAACACUGACCUUACGGUCCGCAGACGGUACCUGAGUAAGAAGCCCCGGCUCAAUACGUUCCAGCCGCCGCGGUAAUACGUAGGGGGCAAGCGUUAUCCGGAUUUACUGGGUGUAAAGGGAGCGUAGACGGUGCGCCAAGGCUGGAGUGAAAUGCCGCAGCUUAACUGCGGAACUGCUUUGGAAACUGGCGAACUAGAGUGCGGGAGGGGUAAGCGGAAUUCCUAGUGUAGCGGUGAAAUGCGUAGAUAUUAGGAGGAACACCGGUGGCGAAGGCGGCUUACUGGACCGUAACUGACGUUGAGGCUCGAAAGCGUGGGGAGCAAACAGGAUUAGAUACCCCUGUAGUC
rnacentral:rRNA from 1 species